UACGAAGGGGACUAGCGUUGUUCGGAAUCACUGGGCGUAAAGCGCACGUAGGCGGAUUUGUAAGUCAGGGGGUGAAAUCCCGGGGCUCAACCUCGGAACUGCCUUUGAUACUGCGAGUCUUGAGUCCGAUAGAGGUGGGUGGAAUUCCUAGUGUAGAGGUGAAAUUCGUAGAUAUUAGGAAGAACACCAGUGGCGAAGGCGGCCCACUGGAUCGGUACUGACGCUGAGGUGCGAAAGCGUGGGGAGCAAACAGG
rnacentral:rRNA from 1 species